UACGUAGGGUGCAAGCGUUGUCCGGAAUUAUUGGGCGUAAAGAGCUCGUAGGUGGCCUGUCGCGUCGGCUGUGAAAACUCGGGGCUCAACUCCGAGCUUGCAGUCGAUACGGGCAGGCUAGAGUUCGGCAGGGGAGACUGGAAUUCCUGGUGUAGCGGUGAAAUGCGCAGAUAUCAGGAGGAACACCGGUGGCGAAGGCGGUGGUCUGGGCCGGCACUGACGCUGAGGAGCGAAAGCGUGGGUAGCAAACAGG
rnacentral:rRNA from 1 species